rnacentral:piRNA from 1 species
UGCCCUUGAGAAGUUCAAGUAAUGUGAA